GUCGGCUACGGCGACAUGGCCCCCAAAACCUAUGUCGGCAUGUUCGUCGGCGCCCUGUGCGCUCUGGCCGGCGUGUUAACCAUUGCCUUGCCCGUACCUGUCAUCGUCUCCAAC
rfam:Daphnia magna strain Xinb3 scaffold00443, whole genome shotgun sequence.